CCUACGGGUGGCAGCAGUCGAGAAUCAUUCACAAUGGGGGAAACCCUGAUGGUGCGACGCCGCGUGGGGGAAUGAAGGUCUUCGGAUUGUAAACUCCUGUCAUGUGGGAGCAAAUUAAAAAGAUAGUACCACAAGAGGAAGAGACGGCUAACUCUGUGCCAGCCGCCUCGGGAAUACAGAGGUCUCAAGCUUUGUUCGGAAUCACUGGGCGUAAAGCGUGCGUAGGCUGUUUCGUAAGUCGUGUGUGAAAGGCGCGGGCUCAACCCGCGCACGGCACAUGAUACUGCGAGACUAGAGUAAUGGAGGGGGAACCGGAAUUCUCGGUGUAGCAGUGAAAUGCGUAGAUAUCGAGAGGAACACUCGUGGCGAAGGCGGGUUCCUGGACAUUAACUGACGCUGAGGCACGAAGGCCAGGGGAGCGAAAGGGAUUAGAUACCCGAGUAGUC
rnacentral:rRNA from 1 species